rnacentral:lncRNA from 1 species
UCCGUCGAAACUCUUUUUCAGUAUUCACUCUUACUCUGGUCGGAGAUUUUUUAAACUCAAUCUUGUGAAUUGCAUAGGACUACUCCUUUUCUAUCAAGAUUAAUAGAUUCCAUCUAGGUGCAUCCUACUCCAAAUAGUGAACCUGAACCUACAAUAGCCAACAUACACAGCAAAGAUCUGAAUGACUAGAGAUCAAGAAAAUAUGCAGUCAAACUAGGUAGCCUCGCUAUGAAUAACCAACACACCACAGGUCAAAGGACCAGUCACACCACUGCAACAUCGAAAAAAUCACUAAUGAGUGAGUAGACA